UAGUCCACGCCCUAAACGAUGCUUACUCGAUGUUUGUACCUAGUAUGAGCAUCCAAGGGAAACCGUUAAGUAAGCCACCUGGGGAGUACGUUCGCAAGAAUGAAACUCAAAGGAAUUGACGGGGGCCCGCACAAGCGGUGGAGCAUGUGGCUUAAUUCGAUGAUACGCGUAGGAACCUUACCUAGGCUCUAAUGAUAUAUGCAAUUUGCUGAAAGGCGAAGUUCCUUCGGGACAUAUAUUAAGGUGCUGCAUGGUUGUCGUCAGCUCGUGCCGUGAGGUGUUGGGUUAAGUCCCGCAACGAGCGCAACCCCUAUCGCUAGUUGCCAGCAAGUUAUGUUGGGGACUCUAGCGAGACUGCCGGCGUAAGCCGAGAGGAAGGUGGGGACGACGUCAAAUCAUCAUGGCCUUUAUGCCUAGGGCUACACACGUGCUACAAUGGUAGGUACAAAGGGUUGCCAACCCGCGAGGGGGAGCCAAUCCCAGAAAGCCUAUCCCAGUUCGGA
rnacentral:rRNA from 1 species